UACGAAGGGGGCUAGCGUUGUUCGGAAUCACUGGGCGUAAAGGGCGCGUAGGCGGCUUUAUAAGUCGGGGGUGAAAGCCUGUGGCUCAACCACAGAAUUGCCUUCGAUACUGUAGAGCUUGAGACCGGAAGAGGUAAGUGGAACUGCGAGUGUAGAGGUGAAAUUCGUAGAUAUUCGCAAGAACACCAGUGGCGAAGGCGGACUUACUGGUCCGGUUCUGACGCUGAGGCGCGAAAAGCGUGGGGAGCAAACAGG
rnacentral:rRNA from 1 species